rnacentral:lncRNA from 1 species
AAAUGUAUUUCAUGGUAUAUAUUACAAUAUGUUAUAUUUAUUUAUUUAAGGUAUCAUUUUAUAAUACAAUGUUUUUAUUACCAUUUAUGGUGUUUAGUAAGAAAACAUGGCAUACACAUAAAGUGAGUCUUUUUUUCCUAAUAAUUUUUUAAUACGCAAGAGUCUGAGCUUAGUUAGAGAAAAAAUGUUUAAUACACUCUCUGCGAUGUUAGCUACAACCCCCUCAAACUGGUUUACAGUAAUCUCCUGGGAUACAUGUGUGAUACUGAGAAACUUGAUCAACGCGUCUCUAUGAAUCUCGGAGCAUAACAGUAGUGACAGAAUAGAGAUCUUAAAAGGUGUCUGAUUAAGCCAGUCUACCACCUUGUAGUUACUUCUUUUAAUUAUACGGAGGAACCCCUCGACAUCAUCGGAAAUGGACUUUCCUUGAAGAAGGGCUUGCCCCUUCUCAGGGUUGACAACUUGUUUCCCUUUAUUCUUGAUUGCAGUUACAAGAUCAUCUUUCUCGAGAGGUGGUGCUGAUGCAAAGAUACACACUUCUGAUCAUCCCACCGGUUCCAGUGAUGUUAACAGCAGACUCUUGAACUUCAGCAGGUUUUUCUUCCUGUUUUUGCCCAUAAAGGUAUAUCGUAGAACCGUAGUUCUACGGAAUAGCAUUUGCACUCUCGUAUGGGAACGAGGUUGGUACUGUGAUCACCAGAGGAGUCACUGAAGCAUUUGCAACAAGUAUCUGUACAGGAUAGUAAGGGAUAUCCAAAGUAGACACAUCCUCGACAGCUGAUAUUUAUUCUACCAAGAAGGUACCCUGGUCUACCAGCAACUGGAUACCUUUCUUCAGCUCUCCACAAACUUGUGGAUUAUUCAGACAUUGUGCAUAAUCAUAAGUGCAACCAGGAAACAAAUUCUUCAGCAUCAAUUGUUCCUUCACCACAAGCAAAUGAGUCCUCAACAUAUCAACCUUCGAGAUUAGGUUGUGUUCAACAAACUCUUCAAUCAUAUUGACAGGAUGGCCAGCAU